rnacentral:tRNA from 1 species
AAUUUUGUAGUUUAAUAAGAAUAAUAAAUUGCAAAUUUAUUGGUAAUUUAAUAUUCAAAAUUU